GAUGUGCGAGGCCGGCAGGCAGCGGGAGAGCCGACUGAGAUGCGUUGACGGUCGAGGAGGAACGGAGAGUACGAGGCGGCGUCGCGGCAGCAGUCGUCAAGUCGCCUCCCCUUUCUGACCAUUCAUCGCUUCCUCCACGCUGCCAGGGGGCAGGAAUCGGCCGACGCUGGCAGGAGUUGAAAAGGUCCCACAGAAUUAAAUCUGUUCUGCAAACACUAAAGAUCCCAACUGGAGCAGCAUGACAUUGAAAGCAUCACAUUUAUGGUGCUUGAUACAGAGAAGCAGAUCUCUCUCAACAAGUGAAUUCCAGUUGCCCAUCAUGGAACAGAAUUCUGGGAGUAGAGUUUUGCAGGGUGGACCCACUUCUGUAAUCAGUGAAUUCCAAGUACUUUUUUCAAUAGAUUCUUCUAGAAAUAUUAAUGGGACUAUAGAAGAUGGCAUUAGAGACACCAGUCAUAGCGGAAGGACCAAAGAACGCUCCCGUAAUGAAGCAUCAACCUUCUUUAAUAAUUGGUAAUUAUGUCAUUAGCUGACCAAUUGUGUCAAUGAAUCUACAAAUGUUUCUGGCUGCAAACCAUUUUUCGUAAUUUGUAUCAGCAUGUCAGUGUAUCUGCUUCUCUCAGUUUUUCUCUGUUUCUGCUUUUACUGUAUAUUUCUCAUGUACAGAUAGGCAUGCUUUCUGAGGGAUGGGUCCAAAACACAGAAUGAUCGGGGGAGAUUAUGGAAGGGGAGGCUGCAGGAAACAGGGUGAGAUUGAGCUUUCAUGAAUGUUAAGCCCUACGCCCACUGAAAGGAAAUGAGCAGGGCUGGCUUGUAUAAAGCAAAGUAAAUGCAGCUAGGCAGCCUCCCCAAUCCCAUUAAAGCGAGCUUUUUCAUUUCAGCCUUUAAUGCUUGGCUUCCUGGGGUCAAAUCCUAAACACUUCACAUACUUUGUACAGAAAGCAAUGGAAAGCCAGUCACUUCCUGGAAGAACAGUCAUUUUAAAACAACCUAACACAUCGUCAGUGGCCUGUUAAUUCAGAUUUGAGAAAGAUGAAACACUGCUUCUCCUUCUCCAAACUAGCAAAAAACAGAUUUGUUUGUCUAUACCUUCAGAACACUUCUGCAGUGCCCCUUGGUAAGAAAAUCCAGGAGUUGUAGACCAAAAAAAAACGUUAUCGGCAUAGUCACCGGUGGUUCAGCUGAUCCCAAACCCAUCUAUAGUCAGCCAAGGGAUCUCAUCAGCAACCAGCAAAGCUCUGGUUGUUCACACUCUUCACUAGUGAGCGUGGGCUUUUUCAGUCCAUGGGACUGGUCUCUCUGCUUUGCUCCAUGGGAAACCGUACCUGACAAAUCAACAAACUGAUUUUUCUAAUGUUUUCCUAUUGUUUCAUAGUGUGCCUUUAAAUUUUAAAAAGCUUUUGUUUUCACUGUUUUUCUACCUUUAAAAAAUGUCUGGAACUGGUAUGUAUAUUUAAAAAACAAAACAAAAACUGCUUUAGUGGAAAAGCAGUUUGUAAAUGCUGCAAUAAACACAGUACAGUUCUAUGCCUAUGUAGGUAU
rnacentral:lncRNA from 1 species